CACAAUCCUCUCUCCGUUCAUAAUGGCUCGCGAGAUCCAUCUGCAAGAGCAUCUCGGCAGAUCCACACAAUCUUCCUGCGCCGCCGCAGCAGCUCGAUUCCGUCGCUUCUUUUUCUCUCUGCAGCGGCCGUUGAGAUGAGAUUACCCCAUACCCUGUAGCGGCAGCUCGACUCCGUGCACGCGUAGGGGGCAAUCUCACCUCAACAGCUGCUCCCAGUGAGCUUUUACCUUUACGGUGGGCCGCUUGGUGGUAACGCCCUCUCCUCCUGCUGGUUCGCCACUUCGCCAUGAUUUCAAUCCGAUUUGGAUUUUUCAGAAAUUCUGUUGACGAUUUCAGUAGUUAAGAGUUUCAUGGCCUUCGGUCCUUGUUUUAUCGUUCGAUUGGAGUGUUCAAAAUUUUAUAGAAGUUGAUGGGUGAUUGUUGUCAUCUUCUUGGAAACCUUGGUGGACAGGCGGAGAUGUUUCAUGUUUGGGCAUGUUUUCCUCUCUGGAGGGUGCUUCCUCAUCUUACUGGAGACGAGACGAAGCAGCUGCCCAUGGAGCAGGUCUGGAGGAGGCACUUCUCCUAGGAAUAUGAGACAAACUUCAGCAUGAACUACAACCGCUUGUCCACCGUCCCAUAGCACAUAAUUAUUUAUGAUAUUUCUCUGUGGACGGUACACACCUAAAAUAACUUAAUAAGUUGGUAUUUGGAGUGCCAGAAAGUAAUAAUAUGAUUAGUUAUUUUUUUGAACUGUCACUGGUUCUGGACUCUGUCUGUUAAUUUUCCUGCGGCAGCUCGACUCCUGUUCGAAACCUCUUCAUAAGGAAAACCAGAUAAAAACAAUACAUCCUGCCGAUGCAGAGAAAUUUAACAAUUGCGUAACGUAGCGAGAUUUUGUAAUUAAGCUUUUAAUUAAAGGCCCUCACGAUUGGCCUUGUAUACAAUGGAGCCAUGUUACCACCGCCAGUACGUGUGGUUUGGGAGUGGAACUGAUUGGCAACACGUGCCCCCAAUGCUACCUCUGUUCUCUGAAGAAUUGUAACAUGAAACUGCUGAAGCUUGUGCACUGAUAUUUACUAAUCUGUCAGUUCUGGACCUGUGCAAUUCCUGUGUAGUUUUUGAAGAUGAUUGUUCGGUGUUGACGAACAAAUUGAAAAACCUGAAGCAUCUUGCUGAUUGUUAGGUGGUGAUGAACACAUUGAAGCAUCUUGCUGUAGCACACUGAUUGUUCGGUGGUGAUGAACAAAUAGAAAAACCCGAAGCACUAGUUAGCUGUGCUGAUCAUCAGGGCUGUAAUGUUUGGCUGGGUCUUGUCCCUCCGUUCAUAUGUAACCUUGAUUGUAAAGACUGCAAUUUUUUCUUGAAACAGACUCUCGCCCUGCUUUAGAUAAA